rnacentral:rRNA from 1 species
UACGGGGGGGGCAAGCGUGGUUCGGAAUUACUGGGCGUAAAGGGCGCGUAGGCGGCCUACUAAGUCGGACGUGAAAUCCCUCGGCUCAACCGGGGAACUGCGUCCGAUACUGGUGGGCUCGAAUCCGGGAGAGGGAUGUGGAAUUCCAGGUGUAGCGGUGAAAUGCGUAGAUAUCUGGAGGAACACCGGUGGCGAAGGCGGCAUCCUGGACCGGUAUUGACGCUGAUGCGCGAAAGCCAGGGGAGCAAACGGG